rnacentral:rRNA from 1 species
UACGUAGGGUGCAAGCGUUGUCCGGAAUUAUUGGGCGUAAAGAGCUCGUAGGCGGCUUGUCGCGUCGGAUGUGAAAGCCCGGGGCUUAACCCCCGGGUCUGCAUUCGAUACGGGCAGGCUAGAGUGUGGUAGGGGAGAUCGGAAUUCCUGGUGUAGCGGUGAAAUGCGCAGAUAUCAGGAGGAACACCGGUGGCGAAGGCGGAUCUCUGGGCCAUUACUGACGCUGAGGAGCGAAAGCGUGGGGAGCGAACAGG